rnacentral:rRNA from 1 species
GGGACACGUGGUAUCCUGUCUGAAUAUGGGGGGACCAUCCUCCAAGGCUAAAUACUCCUGACUGACCGAUAGUGAACCAGUACCGUGAGGGAAAGGCGAAAAGAACCCCGGCGAGGGGAGUGAAACAGAACCUGAAACCGUGUACGUACAAGCAGUGGGAGCCCCACCACUAAGCCAGUGGUGAACUCCACAUAUGCAUCCUUUGCUGAGGAUACGGUUAACGGAGCGAAAGCGACGUUCAACCGCAAAAGAAGCAGAGGGGGCUUAGUGGUGGGGUGACUGCGUACCUUUUGUAUAAUGGGUCAGCGACUUAUAUUCUGUAGCAAGGUUAACCGCAUAGGGGAGC